AAAGCUGUAGUGUGCGACAAGGACAUCCUUCGAUCUAUUGGAAAACAAAUUCAACUUCUUACAUACACGGUUUUCUAGGAAAAAACACACAUAGAAAAAACGCGAAGAGCCUAAUUUUAAGGAGGUAUAUAAAAAAGUUUGCAAAUUAUUCCUUAGAAUUAGGUUUUUUUCGUAAUUGGUGUGAACUGCCACAAAAUGGAUAUGGUGGUGCCAUCUAGCGGUAACUAACUUUUCAGUGUUUGCAAGUAACGGUGGCGCCAUCUAUUGCUAACUUAGUGGUACUAAAAACAGAAUUUUCUACUUUUAGUACCGCCGAGUUACCAACAUUGACAGGUGACAGUUUUUCUACAAAUUACGAGAAGGAAGUAAUUAAGAGGAAUCAUUUGUGAACUGUUAUAGUUGCGUCUUCGAUUUUAGAGACCCUAAGCUUACGUUUUAUGUUUUGUUUAAGUAUAAUUUACAUCGAAGGAUGUCUUUGUCGCACACUAUUGCUUUCCUUGUCUAUCGUCAUUAGACAAGGAGGGCUACAGCGUGCGACAAGGACCGACAUAUAUACACGGUAGACAAAGAGGGCACUAGCGUGCGACAAGGACAGAUAUAUACGCGGGUAGACAAGGAGAGCAACAGCGUGCAACAAGGACAGACAUACACGCGCGGUAGACAAAGAGUGCAACAACAUGCGAUAAGGACAACAAUAUAAAUUAAUUCCGGCACCUAUCCUAGGAGUGAUCCACACGAUAAACACAAAUAUUUCAUCAUAAUAAAUUAUCACAAUAAUUAUGAUCUGUGAUUACAACAUUCAGCCCACUUUGCAGAGUAAUGACUUUUUAAGUACUAUAAUAAUGAGGGUAAUGUAACCUAAUUCGAACGUUAGUUUAAACAAGUUAAUAUAUAUAUAUUUAGGUAUUUGUUCUCCUAUUGCGCACUAUUGCAGUCAUUUUCUUAUACUUUUUAAAAGAAUUCGUACUUCAGCAAAA